UUUGUAACUAAAAUCUCUGUCACAAUUUAGCCAUUUUCUUGUAGUGAUUACAAAUACAUAUAAUAAUAUAGUACCUACCAUACAGAACAAAUUAGAAAACUCUCAUAUACACUUUUUUUUUCUAAAAAAAAGAAGAAGAAGAAGUAAUAAUCCCUAAAAUAGCUAAGCAGACAUGCAUCCAACACCAUAUCUAGUAUCGGGAAAAAAAGAAAAAAUCCACUACAAAUAACUCCAACCAUUAAUGAAAAACUGAAAAAGAAAAGAGUUGUGGGGAUCACAAUAAUUAAUUGUGUAAUUAGUUAAUAGUUAGUUGUAAAGAGUUAGUGGUAGCUUAGUUAGUUAGUGAUUGUUAUGCUGAGCUGUCAACACUCAACUGUCUAUAAAAGGAGCAUAUUGUACAGCUUGGUCCAUAUAUGAAAUUGAGAUUCUUUCUACUUGCAAUAAUCUUCUCUCUACAACUUCGUGAUUGAUAUCUUCAACAUGGUAUCAGAGCGAAGGUACUAGAAGAUCUUUGUAUCAAUCAGUGAAGCUCCGGAGAAGAAGUAAUAGAAGAACUAGUGUUCCAGUGACUCUUGAGGUUAUGCAAGAGUUGAAUCUUGAGGUUAUGCAAGGUUGAAUUUCAAGCAAAUUACUCAAAAUUCACUGCAAUUACUCAAAAUCUUGACUACUGAGGCAGUUAAUAGCUCAGUCAAAGGAUCGACUUCACAUGCAACUACUCAGGUGGAGGAUCAGAUCGAUCACAACCACCAUUCGCUAUAUAUUUAUCCUUCUAAUACUCAAGGUUUGGUCCUUAUUUCUAUUCAGCUUAUAAGAUCUGAGAAUUGAGCUUUAUGGAGUAAGUCUAUGAAACUAGUGCUAAGAGGCAAGAAAAAGUUAGGUUUUGAAUUUGGAGGAGAGUUUUGACUCCAGUUUGCAUGAGAUUUGGAACAAAUGUGAUGCUAUAAUUCUUGCAUGAAUUAUGAACACAAUUUCUAAGGAUCAAGUUAGUACUGUCAUCUAUGGAUCCAAUGUUCAUACUGUGUGGUGUGAUAUGAAAGAGAAAUUUGAUAAAGUGAAUGCAUCUAGGGUAUUUUAUCUGCAUAAAGAGAUAAGUACCUUAACUCAAGGUGCAAAUUCAGUCUCUAUAUACUUCUCGAGGAUGAAGGAGUUAAGAGAUAAAUUUGAGGCACUAAUGCCUACUCCUACAUGUGCUUGUGUGGAAUCUAAGCAGUAUGCAGAACACUUUCAACAACAGAAACAGUAGCAGUUUUUGAUGGGUUUAAAUAAAACUUACGCUCAGGCUAAAAGUCAAAUAUUAAUGUUUGUACCUCUACCUACUGUUAAUCAAGCAUAUUCUAUGAUUUUGAAUAUGGAAAGUCAAAGAAUAAAUCACAGUAUGAAAACUAGAAGUAGUUCACGUAGUUAUGGUGGAUCUACUACAUUAUUGAGCAAGAGAAUGAUGCCUAAGAGUGGAAGGUCAAAGAAUUUUUUGAUAGAUCAAUGGUAAAAUGUGACUAUUGUCAUCUUAAAGGUCACGCACAAGAUAUGUGUUAUAAAUUUCAUGGCUAUCCAUCAGAUUAUAAGUUUAAUAAGAAAGGAGGAAUGCAAGCUAACAAUAUAACAGAAAGUAGUCUUUUUCAUAUUGUAGAGGGUCAGACCUCAACACUCUCAUCUCAAUCACAUCACAACUAUCAUACUUCAUAGGGUUCUCUUUCAUUUUCUUAUACUCAAUACUCAAAUCCUGGAAUGUUCUAUGGAAACUUGCCUCAAGGGUCACACUCUACUCAAGGGUGUCACUAUCAGAUUCCUACUACUCAGUAUCUAGUAGCAUUACCAACAUUUACAUCUAAACAAUACUCUCAAGUUGCACAGAUAUUGGAUAAAGGUAAAGCACCAUAAUAUAUGACCAAUGCUGCUCAGGUUGGUUCAAGUGAUGGCACUUCUACUGGUUCAGAGCUCUUUACUGGAAAGGUGAUAAGGAUUGGUAAAGAGGAGGAUGGAUUAUACAUACUACAGGGACACACCAACAUAAUUCCAAAAGAAAACAGACACCUGAGAAGACUCAAAGCAGCAGUCUGUAGCAUUAGCUGAUUAUAGUAUACAAAAUGUCACUAUGCUCAACAAUAAUGUUGUUAGUACUGAUUUUACCUUACUAUGGCAUAAAAAACUAGGGCAUGCACCUUUGAAAGUUCUUAAGAAUGUUAGUGGCUUUAACUCUUCUCAGCUUAAGGAACAUGUAUGCACUGUUUUUCCUAUUAUAAAACAAACAAGACUUUCUUUUCC